AUGGGCUUUCUCUUAAGAUGGUUACUGUUGUCCUUGCUAGCUGUUGGAAGGCAUCAGGCAGAUGCUUACAGAACUGGAUCUGCUGGGAAGUAUGGAGGUAACGUGCCAGUUGAAGGCUAUCGACCAGAUUCAGAUAGCUUAAACACUGGAGACGACUCUUCGUGGAGCACUGGACCAGCUGCUGGUGGUUCAACAUCAGAUACAAAUGAGGUAGCAGAGUCUUAUCUGCCCCAGCAGCCUCAAGGGCUGACCUACCAGCAGCCGCAGAUACCACAGCAGCCUAAAUAUCUACCCCAGCAGCCCCAGGUGCCCCAGCAGCCCCAGGUGCCCCAGGUGCCUAGCUACCAGCCUCAGGUGCCUAGCCACCAGCCCAAGUUGCCCCAGGUGCCCCAGGUGCCUAGUUACCAGACCCAGGUGCCCCAGCAGCCCCAGGUGCCUAGUUACCAGACCCAGGUGCCCCAGCAGCCCCAGGUGCCUAGUUACCAGCCCAAGUUGCCCCAGGUGCCCCAGGUGCCUAGCUACCAGCCCAAGUUGCCCCAGGUGCCUAGCUACCAGCCCAAGUUGCCCCAGGUGCCCCAGGUGCCUAGCUACCAGCCCAAGUUGCCCCAGGUGCCCCAGGUGCCUAGCUACCAGCCCAAGUUGCCCCAGGUGCCCCAGGUGCCUAGCUACCAGCCCAAGUUGCCCCAGGUGCCCCAGGUGCCUAGCUACCAGCCCAAGUUGCCCCAGAUGCCCCAGGUGCCUAGCUACCAGCCCAAGUUGCCCCAGGUGCCCCAGGUGCCUAGUUACCAGACCCAGGUGCCCCAGCAGCCCCAGGUGCCUAGCUACCAGCCCAAGGUGCCCCAGGUGCCUAGCUACCAGCCCAAGUUGCCCCAGGUGCCCCAGGUGCCUAGCUACCAGCCCAAGUUGCCCCNNNNNNNNNNNNNNNNNNNNNNNNNNNNNNNNNNNNNNNNNNNNNNNNNNNNNNNNNNNNNNNNNNNNNNNNNNNNNNNNNNNNNNNNNNNNNNNNNNNNGUCGAGUCGGGUCGGGUCGAGUCGGGUCGCAAAAGUAUAGUAUGACGAGCCUAGGGCUUUAAACGUACUCAUAGUAAUCGUCGACGCUGUGGUUUAGAUCAGCUCUCCUGAAACCGGAGAGGAUCCAGCGUACGGUCGCUGAGAUUCCCCAUACAAUGGGCUGAGAUUUCCUAAAAAGCCCAAUUAGGGUAUCAAUCAGCUUCUUCAAAAGUUUCACGACGACCGUGUCACCACCAAUCGUUAUACAGUUGAGCAAAUUAUAAGCCAACUUAACGAGGCGGUAUGUUUUGCCAUUCAUCACUAAAGGCAGUAGGCUGUUUAUCAAAAUAGCCAGCAGGUCUUUCAGUAAUACAGCCAGGGCGCUCCCACCGGUGUUUACCUGGCGGGUAUAGUAAGCGUUGAUUCCCCAUCUCAAGUUUACCUGGCGGGUAUAGUAAGCGUUGAUUCCCCAUCUCAAGUUUACCUGGCGGGUAUAGUAAGCGUUGAUUCUGAAGUUCCCGUUCGUAUUUACGGACUCCAUGGUUCAGCUCACAGAUUCCUUCUGUGUUCUUCUUCUUCCUGCACCAGAGUGCUGGCCGUCACCUUUUAUAUCUUACCCUGCUCUCUGAUUGGACGAGGGCAGUCAGGUAUGAUGUUAUAUAAUCAACAUUAUGAUGAUGUGUCACAGCGAGCUUCAACGUGCCUCCACCCAGCAGGAACACGCGAGUCCUCCUCAGUUCGUCUUCCUUAUUCCUGAUGGUUAACUGAAACAGCACACUAACACUGAUGAUCCUAUCACAAUAAAGCUCACACAGUACUAUGAACCAUUACACCACUAUCACUAUUGGCAUUGGAACUGAUAACCUGUAUCCAGUGUUUCAGUUAACUGAAGGUUAACUUUAGUAAUAAUUCUUAAAAUAUCAGACUAUGAAAUAUGGAUACAGUACAGUUUACAGUUGGUUACUUAGCAGUUUUUCAACCCCGUAAACAAUUUACUUUAUUAGAUGAGUGAUUCCUUCACUUAUGUUGACAUGUUGUACAGGAUAAAGUAUUCCAGGUUUUUGUUUCCAUGGUCUCAGUAAACUAAUGUGUAUAAAGAAUAUAACAGAUGGGAGGUUACAGUAAUCAUCAUACUAUUACUCUGAUUACUUUGGUACAUUUACUGGCUGUUUCUUCAUUAGAAACACCUGCUUGACUAAUGUUGUUAAUAUUAUGUAAUAUAUAAUAUGUUUAACUUCACUGGGCUGUGUAGACUGUAGGUCACUGCUCACUGCUGUACCUGUAAAGACAAGCAUAUAACACAGUGUUGGUUCUCAUAGUUAAGGUAUAAACACUAACAUUAUGUGAUAGAUAGAGGUUAAUAUAUAUAUAUAUAUAUUGUGGUAUAUUAAGUAGCGAUGAUGUGAAGAUGUGUGGAUAGAAGUCCGCUGACACCAUCUUGAUUGUAUAUAAAGGUUUAUUACGAAAAGGUACAGCAUCAUUUCAAGCCCCCGGAGCUUGGAGAGCAUCCUGCCAAAUUAACAACUCUAUCUGUUUGCGUCGAACAUAGGCUUUAUAUAGGUCUAUUGUUUAUUCAAGAAAAUAGUAAAGAAACAUCUGGUUUAGCUAUCAGAUGUACUGAAAUAUUUACGUCAAAGGGUAAAGGUCCAAGUGUCUUACUAACACUGCAUAUGUUGACAAAAAUAUCACUUGAACUUAUAACAAACUGUAACUUAAAUUUAUAGGCCUUCGGAUACCACAUAUUUCCCCCCUUCGAGGCUGCUAAAGUCUCGAAAAACAGAAGAGUAAAACAUACAUGUUUAAACACUAAAAAUAACAAUUACUCCUACACAUGCUUCUUGCAGCAUAACCUUAACAAUACAACAACUUUAUGGAGUGUGAGAGAGAAAAACCUGUCUGGCAGCUUUCUUUCCAGAAGUAUCCAUCAAACAAUCUAGACAGGAAAAUUCUCUCACAGCCCCUCUGCCUCAGACGACCACACAUAGUACUCCAGAACAAUUGAAAACAGGAAUCUAAACCGCUAAUCAAUAUAAAUAAAUAAAUGAUAAAGUGAUCACUGUAGGACUGUAUCUUCCCCCAUGAGCGUUGAGGACCCCUAGUGGAGGCCCGACCCCCAGGUUGAGAACCACAAAUGUAGUGCAGGAUAUACUCAGGUAUACCCACUUAUUUUUCACUCAGUAUCAACUUCAAAAAGUAUAAUAUAGAACUAUAAAACACACUAAUGCUGAGACAUACAAUAUAUUGGGGAGGCUGUAUAAGAAAUGUGCUUUACAUUCACUUAACAUGCUUUAAACAUUCAGGGAACUGCAUGUUUUUGUCUUUGGAAGACCAGUUUUCUCCUGAAAUCUUGGCUCAUUAAACUGUCUGUUGCUUAUGAGAGGAGCUGAGUGGUGUUAAUGAAGCUUCCCUGAACUCCACCUGCUGCUGUCAACACUAUUUGCUCAAUAUUGUUGUUAUUAUUAUUAUUAUUAUUAUAUUGUUAAUAAUGACUGUAAGUUGAGGGAUGAAGUCACCUCUCAGCCUCCAAACUCCGCCCACUACUACCUGGGUCACCAGUGAUGUCAUUAGGCUGUCAUAAAGUAGUAUAGAUAGGACUUGUCUCAGGCUUUAGCUUCAGCUCUGGGGGGGUUUUGGGGACACGACGGUGACCUCGAAGCCCGGUAGAGCCACUGAGCUUCAGGCUCGUGGCGACGCCUUCCCAUGCCUGACCGGCGCGCAACGGUCACUGGCAGGAUGACCCCCAGAGCUCCUGUGAAAAGACAAACCCCAAAUAUCUCUCUCUCUCUCUCUGUCCUUUCCCACUUUUUCUGUCCUUUCUCACUAUCUCUAUCCUCUCUUUCCUUCUUUCUUUCUUUCUCUUUUCACAAAAACAAAAAAUAAUUGUGUCUAUGACAAAAUGAAAAUGUUCAGUUUCCGUGCUGCAACAGAUUUAAAUCUGGUGACUGAGAAGGCCACUACAGGACGGUCCAGGAUCUUUUUCUAAACCAAACUUUGGUUGACUUGGAGGUGUGCUUCGGAUCAUUGUCUUGCUGUCCAAUGAUCACCAAGGUUUCAUUUGUCAACAGAAGGCAUCACUUUCCUCUUUAAAAUGGCCUGAUAUUUGUGGGAAUCCAUGAAGCCCGGUACACGAUAAAGAACAACAGCCCCAAGUGCCAAAAGGCACCUGAAGGACUAUGACCAUGAGAAUCAAAAUUCUCUGCUCUGAUGAAACAAAGAUUGAACUCUUUGACCUGAAUGCCAAACAUCAUGUCUGGAGGAAACAAGGUCCUACGAAACAGAAACUGUCCAAUAAUCCGUCUGCCAAGCUUGUAGCUUCAUACUCAAAAAGACUUGAGGCUGUAAUUGCUGUCAAAGGUGCUUCAACAAAGUACUGAGCAAAGGCUGUGAAUACUUAUGUACAUGUUAUAUUUUUGUUCUUUAUUUUUAAUAAAUAAGCAAAAACAACUUUUUUCAUGUUGUCAUUAUGGAUUAUUGUGUGUAGAGUUUUGAGGAAAACAUGAAUUUAAUGUGAUUAUUNNNNNNNNNNNNNNNNNNNNAGA
rnacentral:lncRNA from 15 species